UAGAACCCACUCAAGGUUCUCAACCUCUCCAGGGGCGAUAAAUGCCCCAAAGAGUGCUAUCAAUCUUACUGGACAAGCGGGAACCCCAUUGUAGAGAUGUGCCUUAUGCGGAGGAGGAGGAAGAAGGGAUAAUUUACUUAGCGCUUGCCCAGUGCUGUACUUCGGGUUGACAUACAUCUCUAGAAUCUGACGCCUCCCCUUUUCCCUAAUUAGCUAUCACCUGGGGUGACGACUCCGAGAAAUCCACACAACUAGGCUCUGUACCUUUUUACCGGCUGUAGGACUAACUGCAGACUGCGAGUCUUUCUCUGAAGCAUCACUUUACACGAGCCAGAAACUGUAAUUUCCACUUUGCUGCACCUCUGAGUACAGGCGGCAGACAAAACCUGAGCGGGAGAAGGGCAGAGAGAGAGAGACAGAGAGAGGCAGACACAGAAUCCGAAGCAGGGUCCAGGCUCUGAGCUGUCAGCACGGAGCCAGAUGUGGGGCUCGAACCCAUGAACUGUGAGAUCAUGACCUAGGCCGAAGUUGGACGCUUAACCGACUGAGCCACCCAGGUACCCCAGGAAAGUAAUUGUUUAAAAUUACGCUUAUUACCUGAAACCUAGAAUUAUUACUUAUAGUUAUAUAAUUACCCAGAUCUAAACGGUGACCCGAGAUGGAAAUCACUAAACACAACAAAAAUCUCUUUCUCCUUCUUACUCCCUCGAUCUGGGCUAAGGAGCACCGGAGGCCAAGGCUUGCAAAUCCCAGCUGGAUGCCACCAUGGGUGCCCCUGGUCAGCUCAUGCCAGGAAUGGAUCGGGGGUGCACAAGGGCCACAAAGCCUCCUCCGCCGUGGGGAAGGGAGGAGAGAGGAUUAUAGACACGAGUGCGCACAACCCGUCCACGUGUGCUUCUCGUCUGAACACACAGGAAAGGAAAGGAAAAGAGCAGCUGACA